rnacentral:rRNA from 1 species
UACGUAGGGUACAAGCGUUGUCCGGAAUUAUUGGGCGUAAAGAGCUCGUAGGCGGUUCGUCGCGUCGGCUGUGAAAUCCCGAGGCUCAACCUCGGGUCUGCAGUCGAUACGGGCGGACUGGAGUUCGGCAGGGGAGACUGGAAUUCCUGGUGUAGCGGUGAAAUGCGCAGAUAUCAGGAGGAACACCGGUGGCGAAGGCGGGUCUCUGGGCCGAUGACUGACGCUGAGGAGCGAAAAGCGUGGGGAGCGAACAGG